GCCGGCGGUGUGCCUAAUACAUGCAAGUCGUACGCACUGGCCCAACUGAUUGAUGGUGCUUGCACCUGAUUGACGAUGGAUCACCAGUGAGUGGCGGACGGGUGAGUAACACGUAGGUAACCUGCCCCGGAGCGGGGGAUAACAUUUGGAAACAGAUGCUAAUACCGCAUAACAACAAAAGCCACAUGGCUUUUGUUUGAAAGAUGGCUUUGGCUAUCACUCUGGGAUGGACCUGCGGUGCAUUAGCUAGUUGGUAAGGUAACGGCUUACCAAGGCGAUGAUGCAUAGCCGAGUUGAGAGACUGAUCGGCCACAAUGGAACUGAGACACGGUCCAUACUCCUACGGGAGGCAGCAGUAGGGAAUCUUCCACAAUGGGCGCAAGCCUGAUGGAGCAACACCGCGUGAGUGAAGAAGGGUUUCGGCUCGUAAAGCUCUGUUGUUGGAGAAGAACGUGCGUGAGAGUAACUGUUCACGCAGUGACGGUAUCCAACCAGAAAGUCACGGCUAACUACGUGCCAGCAGCCGCGGUAAUACGUAGGUGGCAAGCGUUAUCCGGAUUUAUUGGGCGUAAAGCGAGCGCAGGCGGUUGCUUAGGUCUGAUGUGAAAGCCUUCGGCUUAACCGAAGAAGUGCAUCGGAAACCGGGCGACUUGAGUGCAGAAGAGGACAGUGGAACUCCAUGUGUAGCGGUGGAAUGCGUAGAUAUAUGGAAGAACACCAGUGGCGAAGGCGGCUGUCUGGUCUGCAACUGACGCUGAGGCUCGAAAGCAUGGGUAGCGAACAGGAUUAGAUACCCUGGUAGUCCAUGCCGUAAACGAUGAGUGCUAGGUGUUGGAGGGUUUCCGCCCUUCAGUGCCGGAGCUAACGCAUUAAGCACUCCGCCUGGGGAGUACGACCGCAAGGUUGAAACUCAAAGGAAUUGACGGGGGCCCGCACAAGCGGUGGAGCAUGUGGUUUAAUUCGAAGCUACGCGAAGAACCUUACCAGGUCUUGACAUCUUGCGCUAACCUUAGAGAUAAGGCGUUCCCUUCGGGGACGCAAUGACAGGUGGUGCAUGGUCGUCGUCAGCUCGUGUCGUGAGAUGUUGGGUUAAGUCCCGCAACGAGCGCAACCCUUGUUACUAGUUGCCAGCAUUAAGUUGGGCACUCUAGUGAGACUGCCGGUGACAAACCGGAGGAAGGUGGGGACGACGUCAGAUCAUCAUGCCCCUUAUGACCUGGGCUACACACGUGCUACAAUGGACGGUACAACGAGUCGCAAGCUCGCGAGAGUAAGCUAAUCUCUUAAAGCCGUUCUCAGUUCGGACUGUAGGCUGCAACUCGCCUACACGAAGUCGGAAUCGCUAGUAAUCGCGGAUCAGCAUGCCGCGGUGAAUACGUUCCCGGGCCUUGUACACACCGCCCGUCACACCAUGGGAGUUUGUAACGCCCAAAGUCGGUGGCCUAACCUUUAUGGAGGGAGCCGCCUAAGGCGGGACAGAUGACUGGGGUGAAGUCA
rnacentral:rRNA from 1 species